GACGAACGCUGGCGGCGUGCUUAACACAUGCAAGUCGAACGGAAAGGCCCUGCGCUUGCGGGGUGCUCGAGUGGCGAACGGGUGAGAAACACGCGAGUAACCUGCCCUUGACUCUGGGAUAACAUCAGGAAACUGGGGCUCUUAUCGGAUAUGAGCCCCUGCUGCAUGGCGGGGGCUGGAGAGAUUCGGCGGUUGGGGAUGGGCUCGCGGCUUAUCAGCUUGUUGGUGGGGUAGAGGCUUACCAAGGCGUUGACGGGUAGCCGGCCUGAGAGGGUGACCGGCCACAUUGGGACUGAGAUACGGCCCAGACUCCUACGGGAGGCAGCAGUGGGGAAUAUUGCACAAUGGGCGGAAGCCUGAUGCAGCAACGCCGCGUGCGGGAUGACGGCCUUCGGGUUGUAAACCGCUUUCGGCUGGGAAGAAGCGUGAGUGACGGUAAUGGGAGAAGAAGCACCGGCUAACUACGUG
rnacentral:rRNA from 1 species